UGCCUAAGUAGAAUACCAGGUCUACAUGCAAAGCCAGAGAAUCUGUUCUCUUCACCAGUUGUUUCUCUAACAUUAGCAAAGAGGACUUUCUUUAUACCCUAGAAAGCCAAGAGGCAGAUGAGUUUAAUUUAGAAGACAUAGACAAUCUUUGUUGCCAGUUGCUAAAGCUCAUUCCCAUUAUAUCUCUAUUAAGAAAUGAGGGCUGUGGCUCACAGUCUGGCUAUUAUUGGGCUAACUUGAACACACGUUAUUUGGAGAAUAUUAACUGCUAAGUUGGUGUUUAUAUGUGUAGCAUUUACUCUCUUGUAGUAGAUUAGUAAUGUAUUCUGUGGCUGUUUCUUUUUCCCUUUUGGUCAGUUGCAUAAUAUCAGAGAAUGGAACACAUGUUUGCCAGCAAAGCGCUUUCAGGACAGAAAAGUCCUCGGUUCUCACACCAUUCUGGAUACAGAGAAAUCAAACUGCCAAUGGGCAGAGGCCUUAGAGCAGUGGUCUCACCUUCCGAAUGCUGCGACCCUUUAAUACAGUUCCUCAUGUUGUGGUGACCCCCAACCAUAAAAUUAUUCCCUUUGCUACUUCAGAACUGUAAUUUUGCUACUGUUAUGAGUCAUAAUGAAAAUAUCUGAUAUGUAGGAUUUCUGAUAUGUGACCCCUGUGAAAGGGUCUUUUUACCCCAAAGAGUUGAGAACCGUUGGCCUGGACUCUGCCUGAGCACACCUGACUUUGGCUCAGAUGAGUGACGCCUUACUAUCCGACAGCAUCUGGCGGUUCUGCUGUGACUGUGUCCACGGCCUCCUCUCCUCUGGUGUGUUUCCUGAGUUCCGACUGUUGUGGAGUGCAACUUUCUAGAUCUGGCUUCUGUACGGCUUUCUGCUCCCCACUUUGGCACAGACUUCCUUCAGGGACUUCAUGUGCCCAGGCUCGCCUCUUUACCUAACCUCGACCUUCCCACUGAGCUUCAACCACCCACCCCCAACUUUCUCUUGGUGCCUCUCUUCUUUUCCUAGGAAAUGGUUUCCAUAACAACCUCUCUUGACAUCAUUCAUUCCCUUUAAUUCAUAACACUUAUGACACAUGUACACCAGACACAUGUGUAUCACAUGCAGAUAUACCACUCAAAUGCAUACCAUACAUACACAUAUAAUACCCAUCUCAUAUAUACAUCACUACAUACAUAUAUAUCACACAAAUGCAUGUCACUUAUACAUAUCAAGUACAUACAUGUCACAAACAUACAACAUUCACAUAUACCACAGGUGUCAUAUGCAUACAUUUCACACAUAUGCCUAUUACCAUAUGCAUAUCACCACACACAAAUAUAUACAUUUAUGUCAUACACAUAGGUAUCAUACACACCAUACACAUCACACACAUAUAGUAUAUAUAUUAUGAAGCACACGUACCCAUGCACAUCACACAUGUAUCACACGCAUAUCAUAUAAUACAAAUUACACACAUGAAUAGCAUACCCACAGGCAUCCACAUAUUCAUCUUACACAUUCAUCUGUAUCACAUGUAUGCAUAACACACCCAUAUGUAUUAUAUAAAUGUCCAUCACCACACACGUUACAUGUAGAACACGUAUACUUCCUAUGCAUACCAUACACAUGUGUGUCUACAAACGCAUAUCACAUAUUACGUACAUGGCACACACAUGCAUGUAUGCCCUUGGAUAAUUACUUCUGCGCACUGUGCGCUGUUUAACGCUUGUCGUCUGCAUCAGUCCCUGAGCUACUUGCAAACCUGCCUCUGAUUGCUUCUCUGUUGACUCGUCCUUUGCACCUGUCGCUGUACCAGGAAAACGAUCGCUGGAUUAAGGAAUGUACGAAGGAGCACACAGUCCAUGACAGUCCAGAAGCCUCUCGUCGGUUUUCCUCUGCCUUGAUUCAAAGUGAACAUUCUAAGUUGAUAAAAAGGAAAAAGAAAGAGACCAGUAACGGUUAGGACUGCCACAGGGUUGAAGGUCUCACCCCAAAGACAUGAAGUCCCAUUGACAGCGAACACUCUACCCUUUCUGUGGCUGGUAAACACCAUGGGUCAGAUGGACGGAGGAGCAUGGACCUCACGUCCUGGGACAUGAAGAUUCAUACACACCAAUACCAGGUGUUCCAGCUUCAUUUCUGUUGCUGUGCUAAAGUGCCCUGAACAAAAGCAACAUCAAGAGGAAUGCUGUGUUCAUGAUCCCUGUCCACUGUGUCCCUGUCCCAUCCCUGAGAGCUCUCUGCUCUUUCAUUCUCCUCCAGUUUUAUCACACACACACAAAUUUGAAUCUAGGUUCUCAUAUGAAGAAACAUGUCAUUGCUCUUUAUGAAUUGGAUUGGUUUAGCUUACAUAGCGAUUUCUCAAUAGUAAUUUGUAGUUCCAUCCAUUUCUCUGAAAAUAUCACAAUUUCAUUUUUUUCACAGAUGAAUAAAAUUCUACAGCAUACCUGAACUGCAUUUUCUUCAUUCAUUCAUCCAUUGGUGGACAUUUACGGUGGUUCCAUUUCCUUGCUGUUGUGAAAAAACAAUGGAUGUGCAAGUAUCUCUGCGGUUGGAAGCAUGGUGCUUUCAGGACACACAAUGGUAGUAGGAGUUCUGUUUUCACUUCGCUAAUACACUUCCACACUGAUUUUGUGAGUGGUGGGACCAGCUUACAUUCCCACCUGCUGUGAAUAAACUUCCUCUUUCUUAGCA